rnacentral:rRNA from 1 species
UACGAAGGGGGCUAGCGUUGCUCGGAAUCACUGGGCGUAAAGCGCACGUAGGCGGCUUUCUAAGUCAGAGGUGAAAUCCCGGAGCUCAACUCCGGAACUGCCUUUGAUACUGGAAAGCUUGAGUUCGGGAGAGGUGAGUGGAACUGCGAGUGUAGAGGUGAAAUUCGUAGAUAUUCGCAAGAACACCAGUGGCGAAAGGCGGCUCACUGGCCCGAUACUGACGCUGAGGUGACGAAAGCGUGGGGAGCAAACAGG